GGCAUGACACAAGCGCCUGGACUGUGCGGUCCGCGCGCCCCUCAGGGUGCCGCGGAUUGGGAACAGUUGACGCGGAGGAGGUCAGCGAACCAUUCGGCGGGUGCCUCCCGGUGUGCGCCGCACCGCGAGCGAAGCUCGAAAGCCGCCGGGCGACCGGCGGGACAAGGGCGAGCAGGCGAAUGA
rnacentral:ncRNA from 1 species